CUUCGGGUAAUGAGGAUGGCGGACGGGUGAGUAACGCGUAAGGAACUUGCCUCUUGGACUGGGACAACUGUUGGAAACGACAGCUAAUACCGGAUAUUAUGAGAUUCUCGCAUGAGAAACUUAUGAAAGCUAUAUGCGCCAAGAGAGAGCCUUGCGUUCCAUUAGCUAGUUGGUGGGGUAACGGCCCACCAAGGCGACGAUGGAUAGCCGGCCUGAGAGGGUGAACGGCCACAAGGGGACUGAGACACGGCCCUUACUCCUACGGGAGGCAGCAGUGGGGAAUAUUGGACAAUGGGCCACAAGCCUGAUCCAGCAAUUCUGUGUGCACGAUGAAGGUCUUCGGAUUGUAAAGUGCUUUCAGUUGGGAAGAAGAAAGUGACGGUACCAACAGAAGAAGCGACGGCUAAAUACGUGCCAGCAGCCGCGGUAAUACGUAUGUCGCAAGCGUUAUCCGGAUUUAUUGGGCGUAAAGCGCGUCUAGGCGGAAAAAUAAGUCUGAUGUUAAAAUGCGGGGCUCAACUCCGUAUUGCGUUGGAAACUGUUUUUCUAGAGUACUGGAGAGGUGGGCGGAACUACAAGUGUAGAGGUGAAAUUCGUAGAUAUUUGUAGGAAUGCCGAUGGAGAAGUCAGCUCACUGGACAGAUACUGACGCUGA
rnacentral:rRNA from 1 species